CCCCAGAGGAAGCUCUUGCAAUAGCUUGAUUUGUUCCUGUUCCUGCUCUCUGGGGAAAGAGAGGUUCACCCACUGGAAGCUGGAUCCUGGCCUUGGGUCCAGGGUGGGUGGAGACAGCAGAGACCCCGGCGCAGUUGCAUCGCUGAAAGUGGGGUCUGCAGUGCUGAUGGUGUCGGUUGGAGUGCUUGGAGUCCUCAGCGAGCACUAGGAGCAUCGAUUGGCGGAGGUACUCAGUCGGAGUGCCAGCGUUCCGUCACAUUUGGUUGCAGCGGUGGGAUGGCGUCCUAGUGCGAGGACCAGCAGCUCGGAGACACCGGUAACGUGUGGAGUUACGGAUUUAUAAUUGAGGGCAACACUAGCCUCUGC